GACGAACGCUGGCGGCGCGCCUAACACAUGCAAGUCGAACGGAAUCGAGAGGAGCUUGCUUUUCUUGAUUUAGUGGCGAACGGGUGAGCAACGCGUGAGUAACCUGCCCUGGAGUGGGGGACAACAGUUGGAAACGACUGCUAAUACCGCAUAAGCCCACGGUGCCGCAUGGCACUGCGGGAAAAGGAUUUAUUCGCUUCAGGAUGGACUCGCGUCCAAUUAGCUAGUUGGUGAGGUAACGGCCCACCAAGGCGACGAUUGGUAGCCGGACUGAGAGGUUGAACGGCCACAUUGGGACUGAGACACGGCCCAGACUCCUACGGGAGGCAGCAGUGGGGGAUAUUGCACAAUGGGGGAAACCCUGAUGCAGCGACGCCGCGUGGAGGAAGAAGGUUUUCGGAUUGUAAACUCCUGUCGUUAGGGACGAUAAUGACGGUACCUAACAAGAAAGCACCGGCUAACUACGUGCCAGCCGCCGCCGUAA
rnacentral:rRNA from 1 species